GUGCUUCGCCAGCACAUAGACUAACAUUGGAAGGAUACAGAGAAGAUUAGCAUGGCCCCUGCGCAAGGAUGGCACGCAAAUUCGUGAAGCGUUCCAUAUUAAA
rnacentral:snRNA from 1 species